rnacentral:tmRNA from 1 species
GGGGACGUCAAGGUUUCGACAGGGAGUUGUCUGGUGCAAACUGCAACCGUGUGAUACACGUUAAUCAUCAACUUAAAUUAACUGUAAAAAAUAUAUUUGCAAACUUAUUUGGUGCAAACCAAACAGUUGCAUACGCUGCUUAAUUAACCUAAAUACUGGUUCGCAGCCAUGCCCUAAGUGUGUAGCUUUCCAUGCUUAGUAAGCGUGUUAGAUCUGAAAGAUAAGGAAGGAUAGUCCUAGCUAUCCUUCACGAAAACUUUAUAGGAACAUCAGUAAUCCCAGUUGUCUGGUUCUGGCUACUGAUUAUAAAAUCAGACUAAGUUGUAGAGGUUUGUACGUGGGAUGCUUUUUGGACGCGGGUUCGAUUCCCGCCGUCUCCACCA